AUGGGAAGUAAGCUGCUAAUUGAAUACUUUUGUGUUCUAGUCAUUAUUUCCAAACUUCAAGGACAGAGAUCCUCUAGGAUUCUACCCAGUAUUGAGCUUGCAUUCCUGUUGGACUGCACGUGGAGCACUGCAGGGAGAAGAUUUUUUUUUUUAAGAUUUUAUUUAUUCAUGAGAAUACACACACAGAGAGAGAGAGAGAGAGAGAGAGGGGCAGAGACACAGGCAGAGGGAGAAGCAGACUCCACACAGGGAACCUGAUGUGGGACUCGAUCCGGGGACUCCAGGAUCACACCCUGGGCCAAAGGCAGGUGCUAAACCGCUGAGCCACCCAGGCUGCCCUGUAAAUUUAUUUAGAGACCGAUUUAGUUGCAAAGACUUCAAUUCCAACCAGAAAGCAAGUGAGAAAUUACUCUUUGUUGAGUAUUCCCCAAUUUUGUAUUGUCUAUUUCAGCAUACUGCGAUACUGUAGGCCACAAGAAGUUUGACUUUCUUGAAAUAUUUUAACAGAUGAUAUGGAUUGCAUGUGUACCACUUAGAAUAAUUAUUAACCCUGACCACUGGGGGUAUUUCCAAAUGUUCAGGUACUUAUGCCACAAAUGAUCAGUUGGGAGAACUUGGGCCAAUUUUGCAACUUCUCUGUGGCUUAAUGCUCAUGUUUAUAAGUGGAAAUGAUGUGUAUAUCAUAAGUUACUGCAAGGUUUGUGUGGCAUUUGCUGUGAUAUACUUAGAAUAAUGCAUAAUGCUUAGUAUUCCAUGAAAAUUAAUUAUCAUUCUGAAAUAUUUAGGCCUUAGACUGAAAAGAUAAUCAAAAACAUUUUUACUAAAUACAAGGAGUUAGUAGUUUUUUUCUUUUGGUUUUAUUGUGUUUCUUUGCAAUCAAUAGCUCAUCAAUCUGAUAAAACACCUUGAAAAUUAGCUGAGCUGUUUGAUCAAUUUUCAGGGAUAUUGGAAGGGAUCAAGAAAUUGAACUAAGUGUUCAAAGUACUUUACAACACUAAGUUUAUUAGUCAGGAGUUCUUUAUUUUGCAAGUGACAGGAUCCUAUAGAGAAAUAUCUUAGGGAAAAGAAACACUCUGAGAAAGAUAAUGUCUGACUGAAAGAAGUGGUGAACAACCUUAGAGCAGAGCAUUCAAAGACAUAGGUGGGUUUCAGACAAAACACACUCAAAUACUGUCAUAAUCCCAUCACUCAUCAUCUUAUCUGCAUUCUUCUCAAAACAUAAAAUUUGUUCCUAUCUGGAAAUUGUUUCGGACCCAUC
rnacentral:lncRNA from 12 species